rnacentral:lncRNA from 1 species
CCUCAGGCUCCUGAAUAGCUGGGAUUACAAGCAUUCCCCACUGUGCCCCGUCAUCCUAAAAAUAUUUUUAUUUUUUAUUUUUUUGCUUUUGUUUUUAGUACCAGAGUUUGAACCCAGAGGCACUUAACCACUGAGCCAUAUCCCCAGCCUUUUUUAUGUUUUAUUUUGAAACGAGGUCUCACUAAGUUGCUAGGGGCCUUGCUAAGUUGUUGAGACUGGCCUUGAACUUGCAAUCCUCUAGCCUCUACCUCCUGAAUAGCUGGGAUAACAGCUGUGCACCACCAUACCCGGCCUUCCUAAAAGAUUUCUAACUUUUUUGUUUUGUGGCUUUCUACCAGGAGGACGCAUAGAUCAUCCUUGGUUCAGUUGUCCAUUGCUUCCUGACAACUGAUCCCAGCAAAGAACAGCUACAGUGAUAGCCCGUCACCAUCUCUCAUGGUUCCCGUGGUCAGCAAGCAUGGCUUGCUCCUGAUCCCCAACAACAGGAGUGGGCCGGAGUCCCUGGAAGUUUCAUGCACUUCCACAUCUGGCAGUUGGUGUGGGCUGUGACCUGGCUAUCAGCACAAGAUUCCUAAUGACAGGAAGGACAGUGGCUGGUCCAAGCACAGGUGACCCAGAGAGAAAAGAGAAUCAAGCACAAGCCCUACUACUUUCUAUGACCUCCAGAGUCUUGUAGCAUCCUUUCUACCUCAUCCUGUUGGUCAAGGAAGCUACAAAGUUCUGCCAGGACCUGGAGAUAAAAAACAGUUCCUGCCUCUUAUGGAAGUGUGUCAAUUCACAGUGCAAGGAAAGCCAGUCAGCUGGGCUGGAUGUGCAGUCUACCACAGAUCCUGAAAAGCAGAUGAUGUAAUGCUUACAGUUUGCAUCCCAACAUGAGAGUUGAUUCUUCUUCACCAAUUGGCUCCCACUAGAGGGUUUGAGAAUGGGCUUAACCAAUGUGACCAUUAUAAAGACGGACAAGGAACAAAAGUUACCAUACAUUUCAACAAUUGUGCAACUAGUAAGUACUGUGCAUUUUUCUUCACCUGUUCAAAUAUUAUCAACCCUUUUAAUACUGAAUAUACAGGCGAUCUUAAAAAUCUAGCCAAGUCUCAUUUUCUAAACUUCUAGAGUGUUUUUCUCUCCAAUGUAUCAGGCCAUUCCCUGCUUUUACCAUCUUGUUAACCCACAAUCUGCAGGUCAGACGGGGCCUCGGGUUCACAGGCAACAGCUUUAUCUGCAGUUUCAUCAAUAAACUCCAGUGCCUCUGAGCGGAUUUGACCAAGGUCAGGGGGUG